UCGACCAUUCGUUCUCCACCGUCGUUCUCCACCUCCGGCCAAAACUUAGGGUUCCGGCGACCCAUUUCCGGCCCAGAACGACCCGCCACCGCCGUUCUCAACGCACGACCCGGCACCAUCGUUCUCAACGCACGACCCAACUCCGUCGUUCUUCCAGUUCCAGCGGCGACCAGCUAAACCAUUCGUUCUCCACCUCCGGCGACCCAUUUCCGGCUCUGGCACAAGUAAAUGUCUACAACAAGUGAUUUGUCAAGCGGUCAUCCGUUAUGUAAGUGUGGAAUUCCUGCACGUCUAAGGUACUCUUGGACCACAUCCAAUCCCGCUAAAAAGUGGUAUGGAUGUAAUAACUACAAGAAAGCCGGUGAUUGUGAUUUUUUUGAAUGGGCUGAUAAGAAGAUGUCUGCAUACGAGAAGGGAUUAGCGCAAUAUCUGAAAGAGAUGGAGGAGAGAAGACAAGCUGACAAUGACAAAGUUGAGGAAUUAAUUGAAAAAAAAUGCAAGGAACAAUUAGUGCAACAUUUGAAAGAAAUGGAGGAGAAAGUUGAGGAAUUGAUUGAAAAAAAAUGUAAGGAACAAUUAGCGCAACGUAACGAGAAGAUGUUUCGUGUUUUGUUGUUAGUUGUCAUUUUGCUGUUAGCCUUUUAUUUUUGUAGUUAUAGUGAACCUAGACAUACUAACUUAAUGUUAA